CGCUAGCUACAGGCUUAACACAUGCAAGUCGAGGGGCAGCAUGGUCUUAGCUUGCUAAGGCCGAUGGCGACCGGCGCACGGGUGAGUAACACGUAUCCAACCUGCCGUCUACUCUUGGACAGCCUUCUGAAAGGAAGAUUAAUACAAGAUGGCAUCAUGAGUCCGCAUGUUCACAUGAUUAAAGGUAUUCCGGUAGACGAUGGGGAUGCGUUCCAUUAGAUAGUAGGCGGGGUAACGGCCCACCUAGUCUUCGAUGGAUAGGGGUUCUGAGAGGAAGGUCCCCCACAUUGGAACUGAGACACGGUCCAAACUCCUACGGGAGGCAGCAGUGAGGAAUAUUGGUCAAUGGGCGAGAGCCUGAACCAGCCAAGUAGCGUGAAGGAUGACUGCCCUAUGGGUUGUAAACUUCUUUUAUAAAGGAAUAAAGUCGGGUAUGGAUACCCGUUUGCAUGUACUUUAUGAAUAAGGAUCGGCUAACUCCGUGCCAGCAGCCGCGGUAAUACGGAGGAUCCGAGCGUUAUCCGGAUUUAUUGGGUUUAAAGGGAGCGUAGAUGGAUGUUUAAGUCAGUUGUGAAAGUUUGCGGCUCAACCGUAAAAUUGCAGUUGAUACUGGAUAUCUUGAGUGCAGUUGAGGCAGGCGGAAUUCGUGGUGUAGCGGUGAAAUGCUUAGAUAUCACGAAGAACUCCGAUUGCGAAGGCAGCCUGCUAAGCUGCAACUGACAUUGAGGCUCGAAAGUGUGGGUAUCAAACAGGAUUAGAUACCCUGGUAGUCCACACGGUAAACGAUGAAUACUCGCUGUUUGCGAUAUACGGCAAGCGGCCAAGCGAAAGCGUUAAGUAUUCCACCUGGGGAGUACGCCGGCAACGGUGAAACUCAAAGGAAUUGACGGGGGCCCGCACAAGCGGAGGAACAUGUGGUUUAAUUCGAUGAUACGCGAGGAACCUUACCCGGGCUUAAAUUGCAGAUGAAUUACGGUGAAAGCCGUAAGCCGCAAGGCAUCUGUGAAGGUGCUGCAUGGUUGUCGUCAGCUCGUGCCGUGAGGUGUCGGCUUAAGUGCCAUAACGAGCGCAACCCUUGUUGUCAGUUACUAACAGGUUCUGCUGAGGACUCUGACAAGACUGCCAUCGUAAGAUGUGAGGAAGGUGGGGAUGACGUCAAAUCAGCACGGCCCUUACGUCCGGGGCUACACACGUGUUACAAUGGGGGGUACAGAGGGCCGCUACCACGCGAGUGGAUGCCAAUCCCAAAAACCUCUCUCAGUUCGGACUGGAGUCUGCAACCCGACUCCACGAAGCUGGAUUCGCUAGUAAUCGCGCAUCAGCCACGGCGCGGUGAAUACGUCCCCGGGCCUUGUACACACCGCCCGUCAAGCCAUGGGAGCCGGGGGUACCUGAAGUGCGUAACCGCGAGGAGCGCCCUAGGGUAAAACUGGUGACUGG
rnacentral:rRNA from 1 species